rnacentral:lncRNA from 1 species
CCUAAUAAGUCCAUAGUCAUCCAAGAGCCUAAGAUAACUAUAAAGUCCAAUUUCAAAGGAAUGCAAAAACCGUAGUAGUAGUAGUUACUUCCAAUAUUUGAAAAAUUUGUUUUUGAUAUUGAUUUGUUUUUCUUAAAACAAAUAGUGGGAGUAUCAUACGCUACUAGACUAUAAUGAAUACAAUUAGUAGUUAUAUAUAUAUAUCUCCAAUAUUUUGAAAAAUGUUUUGAUAUUGAUUUGUUUUAUGAAAACGAAUAGUGGGGAUAUUAUAUGCUACUAAAUUCAUUAACUUUGGACUAGUAGUUAUAAUAGGACAAUUUAUUUGAUUGUGAUUAAAUAAAUAAAAUUGAUGAGACCUUAAAAUCCCUCAACCAAACAAUAUUAAGUUGUAAGCGUAAG